rnacentral:rRNA from 1 species
AUUGAACGCUGGUGGCAGGCUUAACACAUGCAAGUCGAACGGAAACAGGAAUUAGCUUGCUAAUUUGCUGACGAGUGGCGGACGGGUGAGUAAUGCUUGGGAAUCUGGCUUAUGGAGGGGGAUAACUACGGGAAACUGUAGCUAAUACCGCGUAAAAUCUUCGGCUUAAAGGGUGGGACUUUCGAGCCACCUGCCAUAAGAUGAGCCCAAGUGGGAUUAGGUAGUUGGUUAGGUAAAGGCUGACCAAGCCGACGAUCUCUAGCUGGUCUGAGAGGAUGACCAGCCACACUGGAACUGAGACACGGUCCAGACUCCUACGGGAGGCAGCAGUGGGGAAUAUUGCACAAUGGGGGGAACCCUGAUGCAGCCAUGCCGCGUGAAUGAAGAAGGCCUUCGGGUUGUAAAGUUCUUUCGGUGACGAGGAAGGUUGAUAGGUUAAUAGCCUAUCAAAUUGACGUUAAUCACAGAAGAAGCACCGGCUAACUCCGUG